UCUCUCUCUUCCUCGCGCGCCCCCACCCUCCGCCGUCUCCUCUCUCCUUCUCCUCCCACCACUACCACCCGUCCCCACCGCCUCUCGUCCGCUGCAUUGCAUCCUUAGCAACUCCUCUCCCUCACCGCCAUACGACAUUUCACCGCCCCCCGAGGCCGCUUCAUCCUUAUCAUGAAACCCUGGUGCAGAAGAUCUAUAAAUCGAUUCGCCGUCCUGGCUCCGCCUCCAAGGCUAGGGCUUACGCCGAUGUCAACGUGAUCCGAACCAAGGACUACUGGGACUCCCUCACUGUCUAAUGGGGGGAGCAGGGUGAUUACGAGGUGGUGAAGAAGGUUGGGAGAGGAAAGUAUAGUGAAGUGUUUGAAGGGGUUCACUGUACCGAUAACGAAAAAUGUAUUAUCAAGAUUCUCAAACCUGUUAAAAAGAAGAAGAUUAAGAGGGAGAUAAAAAUACUGCAGAAUCUCUGUGGGGGCUAAGUCAGAACGUGGACUCAAUGGAGGGAUUGCAAGAGAAAUAUAUGAUGAGUGGAGAGGAAGGAGGGCUUGAAAACUGGUUAAGAUGGUAGUUGUUGUAAUUGUCUUUUAUUAUUUGAUGAUAAUUUGUUGAGAUGAUUGUUGUAAUUGUUUU
rnacentral:sRNA from 1 species